rnacentral:lncRNA from 1 species
GUGGCCAGUGGUGCAUCAGCGGACGGAUAAGGCCUCGUUUAGUUCGUGAAAAUAAAAAUUUCAUGACAUUGUAGUAUUUUCGUUUGUUUGUGGUAAUUAUUGUCCAACCAUGGACUAACUAGGAUCAAAAGAUUCGUCUUGUCAAUUUCGAUCAAACUGUGCAAUUAGUUUUUAUUUUUAUCUAUAUUUAAUACUCUAUGCA